AUUGAACGCUGGCGGCAGGCCUAACACAUGCAAGUCGAACGAGUGGCGGACGGGUGAGUAAUGCUUGGGAAUCUAGCUUAUGGAGGGGGAUAACUACGGGAAACUGUAGCUAAUACCGCGUACCAUAGGAUGAGCCCAAGUGGGAUUAGGUAGUUGGUGAGGUAACGGCUCACCAAGCCGACGCUCACUAGCUGGUCUGAGAGGAUGACCAGCCACACUGGAACUGAGACACGGCCCAUACUCCUACGGGAGGCAGCAGUGGGGAAUUUUGCGAAAUGGGGGCAACCUGACGCAGCCAUGCCGCGUGAAUGAAGAAGGCCUUCGGGUUGUAAAGUUCUUUCGGUAGCGAGGCGUUAACUACAGAAGAAGCAACGGCUAACUCCGUGCCAGCAGCCGCGGUAAUAC
rnacentral:rRNA from 1 species